rnacentral:rRNA from 1 species
UACGGCGGGUGCAAACGUUGCUCGGCAUCAUUGGGCGUAAAGCGCACGUAGGCGGCGCGUUAAGUCGGGUGUGAAAGCCCUGGGCUCAACCCAGGAAGUGCAUUCGAAACUGGCGCGCUUGAAUAUGGAAGAGGGUCGCGGAAUUCCCGGUGUAGAGGUGAAAUUCGUAGAUAUCGGGAGGAACACCAGUGGCGAAGGCGGCGACCUGGGCCAAUAUUGACGCUGAGGUGCGAAAGCGUGGGGAGCAAACAGG